GCCUGCUUAGCUCAAAGGUUAUAGCAGCGCGUUUGUAAUAGUGAUGGUCAUCAAUUCGAUUCCGAUAACCGGCU
rnacentral:tRNA from 1 species